ACAAAUAACUGGGGGGCAAAAACCCAGCCAGCAGGUACAGAACUGGACAGUGGUCAUCAAUCAAGUCUACUGCCCCAAGACAACAUUAUCAGAGUUGUUCUGUUUUCAAACAAGCACUGGCAGCAAACCCUGUCAAACAGAAGAAGUAUUAAGAACCACAGAUCACAGGGUUUAACUGUUUCAAUGGGGGAGCACCAUUUCUGCAAACUGUACAUAGGUCUACAAUUCCAAAAUCUGAAGAGCUCAAAACCAAAUGUUUUCUCCUAAGUUUUGAGCCAAACCUGUAAAAAACAAAACCCGAUGAUGACGACGACAAAGGCAAAACUGGCGCCACCCUCUCCUCCGAGAUCCUCAAGCAACCAGAUGUAAUGAACAUUCAUCGCGUGUAUACAUGCAGCACACGAACGAAGAAGAAGGGGGAGAGAACCGAGGCCACCGGCUGUCACACACACUGACACUCUGUGACACAGGUACGCAGCCCUGCUCGGCAACUCACUGCAUACUCGCCCGUCCGAAGGCUGUCUGCUGCCAGCUCAACACCUCUGGGCUCAUUUAUUUAAUAUAAACUAUUUAAAAAAAAAAAAAAAAAAAAAAAAA